UACGGAGGGUGCAAGCGUUGUCCGGAAUCAUUGGGCGUAAAGAGUUCGUAGGUGGCAUAUUAAGUCUGGUGUUAAAGCCCGAAGCUCAACUUCGGUUCGGCACUGGAUACUGGUAAGCUUGAAUGCGGUAGAGGUAAAGGGAAUUCCUGGUGUAGCGGUGAAAUGCGUAGAUAUCAGGAGGAACAUCGGUGGCGUAAGCGCUUUACUGGGCCGUAAUUGACACUGAGGAACGAAAGCCGGGGUAGCAAAUGGG
rnacentral:rRNA from 1 species